rnacentral:rRNA from 1 species
GGUUAAGCGAAUAAGCGUACACGGUGGAUGCCUAGGCAAUCAGAGGCGAUGAAGGACGUGCUAAUCUGCGAAAAGCGUCGGUAAGGUGAUAUGAACCGUUAUACCCGACGAUAUCCGAAUGGGGAAACCCAGUAUCCAAUGGAUACUAUCAUUAACUGAAUUCAUAGGUUAAUGAGGCGAACCGGGAGAACUGAAACAUCUCAGUACCCCGAGGAAAAGAAAUCAACCGAGAUUCCCCUAGUAGCGGCGAGCGAACGGGGAGCAGCCCAGAGUCUUAAUCAAUAGCAGUGUCAGGAGAACGGUCUGGAAAGUCCGGCAGUAAAGGGUGAUAGCCCCGUAUCUGAAGAUGCUGUUAUUGUGA